rnacentral:misc_RNA from 1 species
GAGCGAUCGGUGGCGUUUCGCGAGGACAUGAGGGAGCUCUGGGAAGAGCAUAUCGUCUGGACACGUGAGUUUAUCGUGAGCUUCUCGGCGGACGCCGGGACCAGGACGAGGUCGCGACGCGGUUGUUGGCAAACCAGGACCACAUCGGCGACGCAAUCAAGCCGUUCUACGGCGAGGCGGCAGGCGAACAGCUGACCGCCCUGCUCAAGGAGCACAUCCUCGGCGCGGUAACGCUGCUGCAGGCCGCAAAGUCCGGUGAUCCAGCUGCGUUCUUCAUCGAUGCUUACCGACAG